rnacentral:rRNA from 1 species
GACGAACGCUGGCGGCGUGCUUAACACAUGCAAGUCGAGCGGUAAGGCCCUUUCGGGGGUACACGAGCGGCGAACGGGUGAGUAACACGUGGGUGACCUGCCCUCAGCUCUGGGAUAAGCCUGGGAAACCGGGUCUAAUACUGGAUAUGACUCCAUGACGCAUGUUGUGGGUGAAAGCCUUGUGCGGCUGAGGAUGGGCCCGNGGCCUAUCAGCUUGUUGGUGGGGUGAUGGCCUACCAAGGCGACGACGGGUAGCCGGCCUGAGAGGGCGACCGGCACACUGGGACUGAGACACGGCCCAGACUCCUACGGGAGGCAGCAGUGGGGAAUCUUGCGCAAUGGGCGAAAGCCUGACGCAGCGACGCCGCGU